UACAGAGGUCUCAAGCGUUGUUCGGAUUCAUUGGGCGUAAAGGGUGCGUAGGCGGUUCAGCAAGUCGGGUGUGAAAACUCUGGGCUCAACCCAGAGACGCCACCCGAUACUGCUGUGACUAGAGUCCGGUAGGGGAGUGGGGAAUUCCUGGUGUAGCGGUGAAAUGCGCAGAUAUCAGGAGGAACACCAGUGGCGAAGGCGGCACUCUGGGCCGGUACUGACGCUGAGGAGCGAAAGCGUGGGGAGCGAACAGG
rnacentral:rRNA from 1 species